CGGCCCAAUAAAUAACACAGAUGAAAGGGAAUGGAGAGAUGGCUCAGUGGUUGACCACUGGCCGCUCUUACAGAGGAUUCCGGUUCAGUUCUCAGCUUGUAACUCCAGUUCCAGGGGAUGUGACACCCUCUUCUGGUCUCUGCAGUCAUCAGGUGACAUGUACAAGACACCUAUACACAUUUUAAAACGUGUCAAUACUUAGGGAGCUCAGUGGCCUUGGUGUGCGGGAAGCCUGGUCCUGCUACAGAGCGAAAGGAGCCGGAAACACCACCGCAGAGACUCUCGGGCGAGGCUGGGAAGAGGAGCAAGGCUAAACUUUGAAGCACUCCCUGUGUAAUCUGCUGGCUAACGCUGGGAUUCGAAACAGAGCUUUUAGGAUGCUAAUUUACUGCUUUCUCAGAUGCUGACUCUGAAUAAAGAUUGAAUUCCUG